GUGGGGAAUUUUGGACAAUGGGCGCAAGCCUGAUCCAGCAAUGCCGCGUGCAGGAAGAAGGCCUUCGGGUUGUAAACCGCUUUUGUACGGAACGAAAAGGCUCUGGUUAAUACCUGGGGCUCAUGACGGUACCGUAAGAAUAAGCACCGGCUAACUACGUGCCAGCAGCCGCGGUAAUACGUAGGGUGCAAGCGUUAAUCGGAAUUACUGGGCGUAAAGCGUGCGCAGGCGGUUUUGUAAGACAGGCGUGAAAUCCCCGGGCUCAACCUGGGAAUGGCGCUUGUGACUGCAAGGCUGGAGUGCGGCAGAGGGGGAUGGAAUUCCGCGUGUAGCAGUGAAAUGCGUAGAUAUGCGGAGGAACACCGAUGGCGAAGGCAAUCCCCUGGGCCUGCACUGACGCUCAUGCACGAAAGCGUGGGGAGCAAACAGGAUUAGAUACCCUGGUAGUCC
rnacentral:rRNA from 1 species